rnacentral:rRNA from 1 species
AUACGGAGGGUGCAAGCGUUGUUCGGAAUCACUGGGCGUAAAGGGCGCGCAGGCGGUUUGGUAAGUCAGAUGUGAAAGCCCAUGGCUCAACCAUGGAAGUGCAUUUGAAACUGUCAGACUUGAGUACUAGAGGGGAAAGUGGAAUUCCCGGUGUAGAGGUGAAAUUCGUAGGUAUCGGGAGGAAUACCGGUGGCGAAGGCGACUUUCUGGCUAGAUACUGACGCUGAGGCGCGAAAGCGUGGGGAGCAAACAGGAUUAGAAACCCCAGUAGUCC